UACGUAGGUGGCAAGCGUUAUCCGGAUUUAUUGGGCGUAAAGGGAACGCAGGCGGUCUUUUAAGUCUGAUGUGAAAGCCUUCGGCUUAACCGGAGUAGUGCAUUGGAAACUGGCAGACUUGAGUGCAGAAGAGGAGAGUGGAACUCCAUGUGUAGCGGUGAAAUGCGUAGAUAUAUGGAAGAACACCAGUGGCGAAAGCGGCUCUCUGGUCUGUAACUGACGCUGAGGUUCGAAAGCGUGGGUAGCAAACAGG
rnacentral:rRNA from 1 species